UACGUAGGGGGCAAGCGUUGUCCGGAUUUAUUGGGCGUAAAGAGCGUGUAGGCGGCCAGGUAGGUCCGGUGUGAAAACUCGAGGCUUAACCUCGAGAUGUCAUCGGAAACCAUCUGGCUAGAGUCCGGAAGAGGAAAGUGGAAUUCCUGGUGUAGCGGUGGAAUGCGCAGAUAUCGGGAAGAACACCCGUGGCGAAGGCGGUUCUCUGGGACGGUACUGACGCUGAGACGCGAAAGCGUGGGGAGCGAACAGG
rnacentral:rRNA from 1 species